CUAAAGAGUUUUGACGACCAAAUUCAUACCAAUUCCUGUUGAAAGUUUAUCCAAAUUCGCGUUCCCUCAAUCGUAAGCAUGCGUGUUACUUUGAUCCAACGCUCCACACAUAGUUGGAUUGCUUGAAAUAUUCGUUCGUGAACCUAAGAUCAUCGGAUAAUGCUUUCAAUCUACUUUCUAUCAGUCACUCGCCCGCAUAUGACGUCGCACUACGGUAGCUCGCCAGAAACAUCUUCAGAGAAGUGAUCGUCGCGGCAAUCUCACUAGCUAACGUUUUUCCUGCAAGAUCUUAGCUUAUUUAUCGUGAAAGUUAUAGCUUGGAACGUUUUUGUGAUACUACCAGUGGUGAGUGGUGGAUCUGAUUCUGUUUGCAAACCAGAUGUCUCGAAUUGACAAUCUUCUGUAUUCCGUGGAUCGGAUCUCGUUUUGGAGAUACUAUUAAUCAAGAUCUUCUAUUUAGCCUGAGUUGUGGAUGGAAGGUUCCGUUCCUAGUGAUACACCGGCUUCCCAAGAAUUAGGGAGCUGCAGUGAGUCCGUGUUGACUUCCAGUAUCCAAACCCAAUACAGUUCAGGAGAUCUUUCUAUGAAUGAUGUGAAAAUGUAAGUGUUGAAGAAGUUGGAGUAUCAAGUGGUGGCUUAUCGGAAAAAUCAAUAGCAAAUGUGAUUUAGUGAUGGAAGAUGACUACAAGAACUCAGCCGAAUCCAGUGACAAUCUUCCUGAUUCCACAUCAUCUGCUACUCGUUAUAAGCUUGCAUCUUCCAUGAAAGGUAGCCGUGAAAAGCAGGGUAUACCACUUAUGAAGCUGUCUGUCACUUGGGCCGUCAAGCAGGUAUCAAUACAUCCGCAAUAAUGGCAGGAAAUAUGGGAAGAACAAGCAGAAAGGUGGUGGGAAAUCCUCGCGAGGGGGCAAAGGCAAAGACAAGAAGCAAGCUCGGAAGAAUGGUGGCACCACCACCAAAUUCAAGCCAGAACAAGAUGACAGUUUGGCUAGCUUCUCCGAGCCUGAGGCAGGCAUCAUCGAUUUCAACGUUGUCAAUACAGUUCCAUUCCGUGGAAGCAGCUUUCUCAAGAAAUCGGGCCAGAAUUUACACUUCCCAGUUGCGGAGGCCACAUGAUUGAUAGGGUUACCUUGCAUGUUUUCUCUCUUCCAAUGUAAAUAAAUAAAUAAAUAAGCACUCGUUACGGCUUAAAGCUUUCCAGGAGUUGGGAUUUUUGAGAAAGGGCAUAUCACCUACAUGGAAUUAGGUACUACUCUUUUACUAGCAAUUUUGUGUUGUGAAUGUAUGUAGAUAUAUUUCAAUCUUGAUCUUGCGUAUUAAUUGCAUGUGGCAUGCAAUCCUAGGCUGUUCUACUAAAGCCGACUCAUUAUAAAGGUUCUGUGUUCUUGCAAA